rnacentral:rRNA from 1 species
AUGAACGCUAGCUACAGGCUUAACACAUGCACGUCGAGGGGAAACGACAUCGAAAGCUUGCUUUUGAUGGGCGUCGACCGGCGCACGGGUGAGUAACGCGUAUCCAACCUGCCCAUCACUUGGGAAUAACCUUGCGAAAGUAAGACUAAUACCCAAUGACAUCCCACGAAGACAUCUGAAUGGGAUUAAAGAUUUAUCGGUGAUGGAUGGGGAUGCGUCUGAUUAGCUUGUUGGCGGGGUAACGGCCCACCAAGGCAACGAUCAGUAGGGGUUCUGAGAGGAAGGUCCCCCACAUUGGAACUGAGACACGGUCCAAACUCCUACGAGAGGCAGCAGUGAGGAAUAUUGGUCAAUGGGCGAGAGCCUGAACCAGCCAAGUAGCGUGCAGGAUGACGGCCCUAUGGGUUGUAAACUGCUUUUAUAAGGGAAUAAAGUGGGUCUCGUGAGACUUUUUGCAUGUACCUUAUGAAUAAGGACCGGCUAAUUCCGUG